UCUUCGCUAGUAUAUCGGUUAGUAUAAUCGCCUCUCAAACGGGAGAUCCUGGAGCAUCUCGAGCUCACAAGGGUGCGCGAUAGAGCAGGGUUCGACUCCCUGGCGGAGAA